UUUGGCAAUGGGGGCAACCCUGACCGAGCACGCCGCGUGAGUGAAGAAGGUUUUCGGAUCGUAAAGCUCUGUUGUAAGAGAAGAACGUGUGUGAGAGUGGAAAGUUCACACAGUGACGGUAACUUACCAGAAAGGGACGGCUAACUACGUGCCAGCAGCCGCGGUAAUA
rnacentral:rRNA from 1 species